rnacentral:rRNA from 1 species
CCUACGGGAGGCAGCAGUAAGGAAUAUUGGUCAAUGGACGAAAGUCUGAACCAGCCAUGCCGCGUGGAGGAUGAAGGUCCUCUGGAUUGUAAACUUCUUUUAUAUGGGACGAAAAAAGGCCUUUCCAGGUCGUCUGACGGUACCAUAUGAAUAAGCACCGGCUAACUCCGUGCCAGCAGCCGCGGUAAUACGGAGGGUGCAAGCGUUAUCCGGAUUCACUGGGUUUAAAGGGUGCGUAGGUGGGUUGGUAAGUCAGUGGUGAAAUCCCCGAGCUUAACUUGGGAACUGCCAUUGAUACUAUUAAUCUUGAAUACCGUGGAGGUCGGCGGAAUAUGUCAUGUAGCGGUGAAAUGCUUAGAUAUGACAUAGAACACCAAUUGCGAAGGCAGCUGGCUACACGAGUAUUGACACUGAGGCACGAAAGCGUGGGGAUCAAACAGGAUUAGAUACCCUGGUAGUCCACGCCCUAAACUAUGGAUACUCGACAUUUGCGAUACACUGUAAGUGUCUGAGCGAAAGCAUUAAGUAUCCCACCUGGGAAGUACGAUCGCAAGAUUGAAACUCAAAGGAAUUGACGG